rnacentral:lncRNA from 1 species
UUGGUUUUGUUUGUUCCUGUGCUCAUUUAAUUUACUUUGAGUGUAUGAGUAUUUUACCUACAUGUAUAUCUAUAUACCAUGGGUGUGCCUGGUGCCCACAGAAGCCAGAAGAGGGCACUGAUCCCCUGAAACUGGAGUUACCGACAAUUAUGGGUUACCCUGUAAGCGCUGGGAAUGGAACUAGAGUCCUUUACAAGAGCAACAAGUGCUUUUAACUGCUGA